rnacentral:rRNA from 1 species
AACGCGAAGAACCUUACCUACUCUUGACAUCCAGAGAACUUUCCAGAGAUGGAUUGGUGCCUUCGGGAACUCUGAGACAGGUGCUGCAUGGCUGUCGUCAGCUCGUGUUGUGAAAUGUUGGGUUAAGUCCCGCAACGAGCGCAACCCUUAUCCUUUGUUGCCAGCGGUUCGGCCGGGAACUCAAAGGAGACUGCCAGUGAUAAACUGGAGGAAGGUGGGGAUGACGUCAAGUCAUCAUGGCCCUUACGAGUAGGGCUACACACGUGCUACAAUGGCGCAUACAAAGAGAAGCGACCUCGCGAGAGCAAGCGGACCUUAUAAAGUGCGUCGUAGUCCGGAUUGGAGUCUGCAACUCGACUCCAUGAAGUCGGAAUCGCUAGUAAUCGUAGAUCAGAAUGCUACGGUGAAUACGUUCCCGGGUCUUGUACACACCG